AUUAAUUGUUGGCCGGUAUGAAUGGCGUCACGAAGGCCCCACUGUCUCAAGAAGACCCCCCGUGAAAUUGAAUUCGUAGUGAAGAUGCUACGUCCAAAUUGUAAGACGAAAAGACCCCAUUGAGCUUUACUAGAAACUUGCAUUGCUUAAAUUAAAUAAAGAGUUUAGAUAAUGUGGAGCCCGCUUUAGGCUAAUGAAACACCACUCUUUUAUUUUAAGAGAGCUAACCUCCGGGGACAAUGCGAGUUAGAUAGUUUGGUUGGGGCGACCACCUUUUAAAAGGUAACGAAGGUGAGCUUAAGGUCCGUAGUUAAUAGCAAGUGGCCUGACUGAAAGGGGGACACCCCGAGCAGGCACUGGAAUCCAGUGGGCUAUAAUGACCCGUCGUCUUAGAGUGAAAUAGGUGACGAUCAA
rnacentral:rRNA from 1 species